rnacentral:rRNA from 1 species
GAGCUCGUAGGCGGCUUGUCGCGUCGGAUGUGAAAGCCCGGGGCUUAACUCCGGGUCUGCAUUCGAUACGGGCAGGCUAGAGUGUGGUAGGGGAGAUCGGAAUUCCUGGUGUAGCGGUGAAAUGCGCAGAUAUCAGGAGGAACACCAGUGGCGAAGGCGGAUCUCUGGGCCAUUACUGACGCUGAGGAGCGAAAGCGUGGGGAGCGAACAGGAUUAGAUACCCUGGUAGUCCACGCCGUAAACGUUGGGAACUAGGUGUGGGUCACAUUCCACGUGGUCCGCGCCGCAGCUAACGCAUUAAGUUCCCCGCCUGGGGAGUACGGCCGCAAGGCUAAAACUCAAAGGAAUUGA